GUCAGCUGAGCGGGCCGCUCUGCAAAGGGGCCCCGGUGCCGGGGGCCCCGGUCAGGCCACGGGGAGAACCUUCGGCCGCCUCCUCUCCUUUCCGGCCCCACCCUCGGACCAGCGCCCCCAGUAGGAUGGGACAGGAGCUGCCAGCAGGAUGGUUGCCCAGGCCUUGGCGGUAAAGUGCUGCCCUCUGCUGGUUGACAGAAUGGAUGUUCGGUCCCCAGGCCCAAGGUGCAGUGCUGCAUCUCUGGUCAGUUGGGAGUCUGAGAUGAAGCACUGUAGCUCAGGAGAGGGGACAGAGCUUCCACAGAGAAAGCAGGAGGCUGAUUCAGCGGCGGAGGGUGAACACCUCUACUCCACCCAACCCUGGAGGGAUCCUCCUUCAGCAGAUAAUAUUUCCAGUUAUGUAACUAUGCUACAAGUGUAGAUGAUUGAUCAUUAUUUCGUUUCUUCCUACUGGAUCCUUACUACUGACAAACAGUCAUUCACUUCCUUACCCCCGGGGUCCAGUUUUCCCAGGAAUCCCUUGGGCAAUAACAAGGGGGAUUCCUGGAAAUACUGUUCUUGGAGGUGUGGCUUUACAACCAGACAUCAAGAUGUACUCUCACCGUAUGCAGCUGAAAGGCAACAUUGUCACGUGACAGCUAAAUGAACCCAGAUAACCCCGCUAAACACGGGAGCCUCCUGUGUUAUUUUCACCAGAAAUGACAGAAGUACUUAACGUUAUAUUUAUGAAGCUCAAAUAAUAAAAUAAACCAUGACUCUUGAUAUAUAUUACGAAAUGUAAAAUCUAAAUAAAUUUGACAAAAAGA